UUACGGCCAUAUCACGUUGAAAUACCGGUUCCUGUAAGAUCACUGACGUUAAGCAACGUCGAGCCUGACCAGUACCUAUAAGCGUGAACGCUUGGGAAUACCAGGUGCUGUAAG